rnacentral:rRNA from 1 species
CCUACGGGAGGCAGCAGUGGGGAAUAUUGGACAAUGGGCGAAAGCCUGAUCCAGCCAUGCCGCGUGUGUGAAGAAGGCCUUCGGGUUGUAAAGCACUUUCAGUGGGGAAGAAAGCCUUGGGGCUAAUACCCUCGAGGAAGGACAUCACCCACAGAAGAAGCACCGGCUAACUCCGUGCCAGCAGCCGCGGUAAUACGGAGGGUGCGAGCGUUAAUCGGAAUUACUGGGCGUAAAGCGCGCGUAGGCGGUCUGAUAAGCCGGUUGUGAAAGCCCCGGGCUCAACCUGGGAACGGCAUCCGGAACUGUCCGGCUAGAGUGCAGGAGAGGAAGGUAGAAUUCCCGGUGUAGCGGUGAAAUGCGUAGAGAUCGGGAGGAAUACCAGUGGCGAAGGCGGCCUUCUGGACUGACACUGACGCUGAGGUGCGAAAGCGUGGGUAGCAAACAGGAUUAGAUACCCGAGUAGUC